UACGAGAGGCCCAAACGUUAUUCGGAUUUACUGGGCUUAAAGAGUUCGUAGGCGGCUUGGAAAGUGGGGUGUGAAAUCCCUCGGCUCAACCGAGGAAUUGCGCUCCAAACUCCCAAGCUUGAGGAGGCUAGAGGUGAGCAGAACUGAUGGUGGAGCGGUGAAAUGCGUUGAUAUCGUCAGGAAUACCGGAGGCGAAGGCGGCUCACUGGGACCUUUCUGACGCUGAGGAACGAAAGCUAGGGGAGCAAACGGG
rnacentral:rRNA from 1 species